rnacentral:rRNA from 1 species
UAACAAGGAUUCCCCUAGUAACUGCGAGUGAAGCGGGAAGAGCUCAAAUUUAAAAUCUGGCAGCUUUGCUGUCCGAGUUGUAAUCUGUAGAAGUGUUUUCUGCAUUGGACCGUGUACAAGUCUCUUGGAACAGAGCGUCAUAGAGGGUGAGAAUCCCGUCCAUGACAUGGACUACCAAUGCUUUGUGAUACACUCUCAAAGAGUCGAGUUGUUUGGGAAUGCAGCUCAAAAUGGGUGGUAAAUUCCAUCUAAAGCUAAAUACAAGCGAGAGACCGAUAGUGAACAAGUACCGUGAGGGAAAGAUGAAAAGCACUUUGGAAAGAGAGUUAAACAGUAUGUGAAAUUGUUGAAAGGGAAACACUUGAAGUCAGUCACAUUCUGCAGGACUCAACCUUGUCCUUAGGGACUUGGUGUAUUUCCUGUAGAAUGGGUCAACAUCAAUCUUGGCCAGUGGAUAAAGGGGGAGAGAAUGUAGCACCUUUGCAGGUGUGUUAUAGCUCUCUUUCAUAUACAUUGGCUGGGAUUGAGGACUGCAGCAUGCCCUCUGGGGCCAGGACUUUAUCUAUGUCUCAUGCUUAGGAUGUUGACAAAAUGGCUUUAAGUGACCCGUCUUGAAACACGGACCAAGGAGUCUAACAUGCCUGCGAGUAUUUGGGUGGAAAACCCUUAUGCAUAAUGAAAGUGAAAAUUGGGAACCCACAUAAAUGGGGGUGCACUGAUGCCUGGCCCUGAUGUUUACUGACGGUGCUACGGUAGAGCAUGUAUGUUGGGACCCGAAAGAUGGUGAACUAUGCCUGAGUAGGGUGAAGCCAGAGGAAACUCUGGUGGAGGCUCGUAGCGAUUCUGACGUGCAAAUCGAUCGUCAAACUUGGG